UACGUAGGGUGCGAGCGUUGUCCGGAAUUAUUGGGCGUAAAGCGCCCGCAGGCGGCUCAGCCAGUCGGGCAUGAAAUCUCUCGGCUCAACCGGGGAACUGCGUCCGAUACUGGUGGGCUCGAAUCCGGGAGAGGGAUGUGGAAUUCCAGGUGUAGCGGUGAAAUGCGUAGAUAUCUGGAGGAACACCGGUGGCGAAGGCGGCAUCCUGGACCGGUAUUGACGCUGAUGCGCGAAAGCCAGGGGAGCAAACGGG
rnacentral:rRNA from 1 species